rnacentral:rRNA from 1 species
UACAGAGGGUGCGAGCGUUGUCCGGAAUCACUGGGCGUAAAGGGCGCGUAGGUGGUGGCUUAAGCGUGCGGUGAAAGCUCGGGGCUCAACCCCGAGUCGGCCGUGCGAACUGGGCUCACUGGAGCAUAGUAGAGGCAGGUGGAAUUCCGGGUGCAGCGGUGGAAUGCGUAGAUAUCGGGAGGAACACCAGUGGCGAAAGCGGCUCUCUGGGGGCGAUCUGACGCUGAUGCGCGAAAGCGUGGGGAGCAAACCGG